rnacentral:lncRNA from 10 species
UGAGUGGUCAGGAGAAAGCUGAACAACAGGAGGUGGCAUAAAGGAGCAGAAAUGAUUUUUUUAGUCUGCUUUGAUCUCAAGUGACUAUAACAGUGCCUGACGCAUAGAAGGAACUCAGUAUUUCUUGAAUGAAUGAAUGAAUGCUUUCUCCUAUACCAUGAUAUGAAAUCGUUGGAAACCUUAAAGAGAUUUUUUUAUUGUGCUGAAUGUAUGCAUGGAAGACCACAGGCCAUGUUGUUCUUUUCUGACACAAUUCAAAUACUAGAAUGGGUAUCAUUUCAACAACCUGAUCCCUGGUUCCUGUACAGAAGUCUCAAGCACCCAACCAAACAUUUCCUUCUGUACUU